AAUGGAGGAAACUCUGAUGCAGCGAUGCCGCGUGAGUGAAGAAGGCCUUUGGGUUGUAAAGCUCUUUCGUCGGGGAAGAAAAUGACUGUACCCGAAUAAGAAGGUCCGGCUAACUUCGUGCCAGCAGCCGCGGUAAUACGAAGGGACCUAGCGUAGUUCGGAAUUACUGGGCUUAAAGAGUUCGUAGGUGGUUGAAAAAGUUAGUGGUGAAAUCCCAGAGCUUAACUCUGGAACUGCCAUUAAAACUUUUUAGCUAGAGUAUGAUAGAGGAAAGCAGAAUUUCUAGUGUAGAGGUGAAAUUCGUAGAUAUUAGAAAGAAUACCAAUUGCGAAGGCAGCUUUCUGGAUCAUUACUGACACUGAGGAACGAAAGCAUGGGUAGCGAAGAGGAUU
rnacentral:rRNA from 1 species